UACGAAGGGUGCUAGCGUUGUUCGGAAUUACUGGGCGUAAAGCGCGCGUAGGCGGCUAUUCAAGUCAGAGGUGAAAGCCCUGGGCUCAACCCAGGAAUUGCCUUUGAAACUGUAUAGCUUGAGUGUCGGAGGGGAUAGCGGAAUUCCUAAUGUAGAGGUGAAAUUCGUAGAUAUUAGGAGGAACACCGGUGGCGAAGGCGGCUAUCUGGACGACAACUGACGCUGAGGCGCGAAAGCGUGGGGAGCAAACAGG
rnacentral:rRNA from 1 species